GACAGAGGGUGCAAACGUUGUUCGGAAUUACUGGGCGUAAAGCGUGCGCAGGCGGUUUUGUAAGGCAGAUGUGAAAUCCCCGGGCUUAACCUGGGAACUGCGUUUGAAACUACAAGGCUAGAGUGUGGCAGAGGGGGGUGGAAUUCCACGUGUAGCAGUGAAAUGCGUAGAGAUGUGGAGGAACACCGAUGGCGAAGGCAGCCCCCUGGGUUAACACUGACGCUCAGGCACGAAAGCGUGGGAGCAAACAGG
rnacentral:rRNA from 1 species